ACACUGUCCCAUCAGAUUGCAAAGUCACGUUCCAGUGUUUUUGUGUGAAUAUUUUUUUUUACAAGGAACCAAUCAUAUCUCUCUCUCUCUCUCUCUCGAUCCGUCUCUUUUUUAUUUUUUAAAGAAAUUGUUCAUUCUAACUAGGUCUUGUGUAAAACGUUUCAAUUAGGAAGGUCACAUAGAACAUUCAAAUUGAGUUUCACAUCCUUUAAGUUCAGGUACAUGUACUCCUGCGUAUGGGAUUGCCAAGAUAAAUUACAAGAUCUCUGGCACAUAGAAGCUUGAACCAAUAAAAAAAACAACCAAUUUUGUCUUUCAUUGGGAUAUGUUACAAAAAAAUGGCUGAUCAUUGCUAUUUGUUCUGUGUUGUUUUAAUAAGCAGAUGCACAAGAAAAGAACUGAGAUUUAGAGCCACCGUAUUAAUAAACCUUGAGUACUUUAAACUGCUGAAGGCAUGUCGCAUACAUUUUGUAAUUUAUAUAUUGUUCAUCCUUGAAUAAGUGCUUUUGUGUGUUGUGCAAUAAAUAUUUUUUUCGUGUUGGUAGUUUUGUUACCAAGCAAUUGCUGUUGGAAUGUAGAAAAUAGAGUCAAUAAAUAGAUGCACCAAAUAUUACAU
rnacentral:sRNA from 1 species